GAAAAUUUUAAGGAGAAAAUGGAAGCGCAUCAGCCUGGCAAUAACACACCAUUUCUGUCAUGAACAGAUUUACAAGCUCUCUCACAACCAAUUACAGUUAGAAUGAGAAAAUGCAAAUAAAAAGUACCUUUAAAUUGAAUACUUAUCUAUGCGUGUUGGUUUGGUGCUGUCCGAAUCAUCAAUUAGCCAUGAAAUUUUUACUCUAUGGUACUCCACAAAAAGCUUACCAAAUAGACAACACACUCCACUUCCAAGUAGAAGAUUUCCCCCUGCUUAGGUGCUGUGGUGUAAAAUUGAGAAGCCCAAACAUUUCCUUCAAUGUUUGUUCUUGCCCUUCAACACCAACCAGUUUCGCAACAAGAGUGGCACUUUCGGUAAUAUGGUCCAUGUCUUUUGUCUUAGUCCACAGGAGAUGGACCAACUGCAUUCUUCUAUUGCUUGAACUCAAUGAA
rnacentral:misc_RNA from 1 species